rnacentral:rRNA from 1 species
CUUGCGCGAGAUGAGUAUUCUAAGGCGCUUGAGAGAACUCAGGAGAAGGAACUCGGCAAAUUGACACCGUAACUUCGGAAGAAGGUGUGCCUUUAGUAGGUGAAGGGAUUUACUCCUGGAGCCCAAUGAGGUUGCAAAAAAUCGGUGGCUGCGACUGUUUAUUAAAAACACAGCACUCUGCAAACACGAAAGUGGACGUAUAGGGUGUGACGCCUGCCCGGUGCUGGAAGAUUAAAUGAUGUGGUGCAAGCUCUUGAUUGAAGUCCCAGUAAACGGCGGCCGUAACUAUAACGGUCCUAAGGUAGCGAAAUUCCUUGUCGGGUAAGUUCCGACCUGCACGAAUGGCGUAACGAUGGCCACACUGUCUCCUCCUGAGACUCAGCGAAGUUGAAAUGUUUGUGAUGAUGCAAUCUCCCCGCGGAAAGACGGAAAGACCCCAUGAACCUUUACUGUAGCUUUGUAUUGGACUUUGAACAGAUCUGUGUAGGAUAGGUGGGAGGCUUUGAAGCAGGGUCGCUAGAUCUUGUGGAGCCAACGUUGAAAUACCACCCUGGUGUGUUUGAGGUUCUAACCUAGGCCCGUAAUCCGGGUUGGGGACAGUGCAUGGUAGGCAGUUUGACUGGGGCGGUCUCCUCCCAAAGUGUAACGGAGGAGUUCGAAGGUACGCUAGUUACGGUCGGACAUCGUGACGAUAGUGCAAUGGCAUAAGCGUGCUUAACUGCGAGACUGACAAGUCGAGCAGAUGCGAAAGCAGGACAUAGUGAUCCGGUGGUUCUGUAUGGAAGGGCCAUCGCUCAACGGAUAAAAGGUACUCUGGGGAUAACAGGCUGAUACCGCCCAAGAGUUCAUAUCGACGGCGGUGUUUGGCACCCCGAUGUCGGCUCAUCUCAUCCUGGGGCUGUAGCCGGUCCCAAGGGUAUGGCUGUUCGCCAUUUAAAGAGGUACGUGAGCUGGGUUUAAAACGUCGUGAGACAGUUUGGUCCCUAUCUUCCGUGGGCGCUGCAGAUUUGAGGAAGCCUGCUCCUAGUACGAGAGGACCGGAGUGGACGCACCUCUGGUGUAUCGGUUGUCACGCCAGUGGCAUUGCCGAGUAGCUAUGUGCGGAAGAGAUAACCGCUGAAAGCAUCUAAGCGGGAAACUCGUUUCAAGAUGAGAUCUGCCGGGGCCUUGAGCCCCCUGAAGAGUCGUUCAAGACCAGGACGUUGAUAGGUCGGGUGUGGAAGCGCAGUAAUGCGUUAAGCUAACCGAUACUAAUUGCUCGUGCGGCUUGACCCG